rnacentral:sRNA from 1 species
CCCUAGCCCCGAUAGAAGUGAAAAUCCUUUUGUGGCGGGGUUCGCCAUAAAAGAUUGCAACGGAUAGCGGGAUUAGCU